ensembl:lncRNA
UUCUUUUUUUGGCCACUCCUGCGGCAUGUGGAAGUUCCCGGGCCAGGGGUUGAACCUUUGCUGUAGCAGUGACCACACCAGAUCCCUAAUCCACUGAGCCACAAGGGAACUUCUGAAGUUGCAGGGGGAUGUGUUUGAACUUCUUUCUACACAGCCGUUUAUUUAUUUACUUGUCCUUUUUCUUUUUUCUUUCUUUUUUAGGGCUGCACCGUGGCAUAUGGAAACUCACAUCAGAGCUACAGCUGCUGGCCUACACCACAGCCACAGCAAUGCGGGAUCCGAGCCGUGUCCAUGACCUACACCACAGCUCAUGGCAAUGCCGGAUCCCUAACCUACUGAGCGAGGCCAGGAAUUGAACCUGUGUCCUCAUGGAUAGAUACUACUCAGGCUCGUUACCACUGAGCCCUGACGGGAACUCCAAAUAGCCAUUUAUUGAGGGUCAAGAAAAGCCCUUGUUUUCCUCAUUCCCGGUCUCCUCCGCUCUCCUGUUGGGCCUCAAGCCCGGGGCCCUCUGCUCCGAGGCACCUUCUGGAGGAAAUGACAGGCAGUUGUGCGGAAAGAUUGGAGCAGGGAAGCUCCAGCCACCUGCCGAGUCACACCUGCUCCCCCCACCUGCCCCCACAGGGUCCGGGGAGGGAAGUGCAGCCCAGAACAGAGUGGGAAAGCUGCUGGCGAGAGAGGUUUCUGCCUGGGCACAUUAUCUCAUUUAAUCUCCCUCGCCCUCUGCGGGGACGUGUCAUUGUCGUCAAGUGUGGCUCAGGUGUCAAGCAGUUUCAGUAAAAGGUUUCAGCUGCUCCCCAGCCAGGAAACCUUGCCUCUGCUGGGUGUGUGUGACCAGCCCUGCCAGCUGCUCCACGUCCCCUUGCUCCUCUCUGGAGGAGGGGUCAUGAAGCAUCCUUAUAGGAGGGGGACGUCGGGGAAAGGCCUGUCGCCUCCGUGGUCCCUCUGCCUUCCCCGAGGGGUGUGGCUGCGGCCUGGGUGGCAGGGGUCUGUUCUAGGUCUUCCUCCCUGGCCCCCACGCCUCUCUCAGAGCCUGAGACAAGCCCUCUGUUGGAGAAGAGUUGAGAACUAACUCUAGGAACAGGCAUCCAUGGGUAGAUGAGCUGGGAGGAGGCGCUGGCCUGGUUCGAGCCCAGCUGAGUGUUGUCAGCGCUGAAGUAGCCAUGAGCUUCCUGGCGCUCUGUUCUGCUUCACGGUGACAAACACUAUGUCUUGAAACUUAAGAGAAAAAAGAAAAAAAAAAAAGGAAGAGAAAAAAAGUCAGAAAGGGGCUUCUAUGACAGAACGUAAAGUCUAAUGACAACACCUUACAUCCGUAGAGUGCUGUGUGUUUAUGCUGUGGCCUUAUUCCAGUAAACAUCCCCAAGCCCCGGGCUUGGCUUCUCUCUCUUUGAGGUCUGUAGGUCAAGCUCACAGCAGGCCUUGCUCUGAGAGUGCUUGGAGAAUGAAUGCGCAAUUUUUCUUUCUUUUUUUUUUUUUUCUUUUUUCCGAAAAUUGAAGCCCAGAGAGGUUGAGCGAUUUGCUUUAAGGCUGCACAGCCAGCGAGGGCCGGAGUUGGGACUUAGUCCUGGCUCUUCUUCAAGUUCCCUUGGUGGCCUCCUCGCAGAUGCACAUCAGGCUGGCAGAGGAAUUCAGAUGCCAAGAGACACCCCUGUUGAAUGACCAGGGCGUUUACUGAGACCUCAUUCCCCCUUUAUUCUGAAGGCUGGUAUCCUUGUCGUCUCGGUCAGCCUGCUCUUGGGGCCACAUGCACUGUCCUCCCUAACCCCCUGCCUGCUGAAGCAUUUUCUCCUUUGUAUGACACUCUUGAGUCUCCUCCAAAGCUCCUGGAAGCCCCCUGGGGCCAUAUUCUUGAGUAGCUGAAAGUCAGGGUGCAGCCUGUGGCUGCUGCCGUAGCAGCUGGAGCGGAAGGAGGCCAAUGCUGGUCCCCGAGCGAGGCCUGGCUGUCUGCUGGGUGGUCUCAGGUCACGUCUCCUCUGGGCCAUCACACAUUCAUGUUCCAGCCUCUGCUGUUUUCAUCUGUAGACAUGGUCAUUCGUGCAUCAGACACGUCCCAUAGCCCCUGUGCAUGCCGGGUACAGUACAGGGGCUUCUGGUCGUCACAGUAAAUGCUGGCUUGUCCCUUCAGCCGGCUCUGGGUCGUGUCUUACUUGGGUCCUGUGCGCCUCCAGGCUCCGAGGUUUGGGGGGCACUGGGGAGGCUUCCCUGAGAAGGCCUUCUGCACCCCUCUGCCUGCUGCCUUUCGGGGUGCAGGGGGACUCUGUGCUCAGUGUUUUUCUUCUUCUUCUCCUGUUCCUCUUCCCUUCCCCUUGCUCCCCUUUCCCUCCUCCCCUCCCCCUCCGUUUUCCAUUUUCAGCAAGCUUGAAUUAAGCAUGAGCUGUUGCCCAGGUUUGGGUCUAAGAGUUCCCAUCGUGGCUCAGUGGGUUAAGAACCCCACAUGGUGUCUGUGAGGAUGCGGGCUUGAUCCCUGGCCUCCCUCCGUGGGUUAAGGAUCCAGCCUUUGCCGUGAGCUGCGGUAUAGGUCACAGGUGUGUCUCGGACCCUGUGUUGCCAUGGCUGUGGCACAGGCCUGCAGCUGCAGCUCUGCUUCAGCCGCUAGCCUGGGAACUUCCCUAUACAGCAGGUGUGGCCU